AGCCCGUUGGUGUAGUGGUCAAGCAUAUCGGGCUUUGGACCCGUCGACGAGAGUUCGAAUCUCUCACGGGCUA
rnacentral:tRNA from 2 species